rnacentral:rRNA from 1 species
AUUGAACGCUGGCGGCAUGCUUUACACAUGCAAGUCGAACGGCAGCACGGGGGCAACCCUGGUGGCGAGUGGCGAACGGGUGAGUAACACAUCGGAACGUGCCCAGUUGUGGGGGAUAACCUAUCGAAAGGUAGGCUAAUACCGCAUGAGCUCGGCGAGAGGAAAGCGGGGGACCCAGCGAUGGGCCUCGCGCGACUGGAGCGGCCGAUGUCCGAUUAGCUAGUUGGGGGGUAAAGGCUUACCAAGGCGACGAUCGGUAGCUGGUCUGAGAGGAUGAUCAGCCACACUGGGACUGAGACACGGCCCAGACUCCUACGGGAGGCAGCAGUGGGGAAUUUUGGACAAUGGGGGCAACCCUGAUCCAGCCAUGCCGCGUGAGUGAAGAAGG